rnacentral:rRNA from 1 species
GACGAACGCUGGCGGCGUGCUUAACACAUGCAAGUCGAACGAAGUGGCGAACGGGUGAGUAACGCGUAAUCAACCUGCCCUUCAGAGGGGGACAGCAGUUGGAAACGACUGCUAAUACCGCAUACUGAAGGAGGGGCUUGCGUCUGAUUAGCUAGUUGGAGGGGUAACGGCCCACCAAGGCGAUGAUCAGUAGCCGUGCUGAAAGGAUGAAGUGGCACAUUGGGACUGAGACACGGCCCAGACUCCUACGGGAGGCAGCAGUGGGGAAUCUUCCGCAAUGGACGAAAGUCUGACGGAGCAACGCGGCGUGAGUGAUGACGGCCUUCGGGUUGUAAAGCUCUGUUAAUCGGGACGCGGUACCGGAAUAGAAAGCCACGGCUAACUACGUGCCAGCAGCCGCGGUAAUUC